rnacentral:tRNA from 1 species
AGCCAGCAUGGCACAGUGGUUUGAGCAUUGGACUAGGACUCUGGAGACCAGGAUUCGAAUCCCAGCUCGGCUA